rnacentral:rRNA from 1 species
UACGGGAGUGGCAAGCGUUAUCCGGAAUUAUUGGGCGUAAAGCGUCCGCAGGCGGUCUUGUAAGUCUGUCGUUAAAGCGUGGAGCUUAACUCCAUUUCAGCGAUGGAAACUGCAAGACUAGAGUGUGGUAGGGGCAGAGGGAAUUCCCGGUGUAGCGGUGAAAUGCGUAGAUAUCGGGAAGAACACCAGUGGCGAAGGCGCUCUGCUGGGCCAUAACUGACGCUCAUGGACGAAAGCCAGGGGAGCGAAAGGGAUUAGAUACCCCUGUAGUCCUGGCCGUAAACGAUGAACACUAGGUGUCGGGGGAAUCGACCCCCUCGGUGUCGUAGCCAACGCGUUAAGUGUUCCGCCUGGGGAGUACGCACGCAAGUGUGAAACUCAAAGGAAUUGACGGGGGCCCGCACAAGCGGUGGAGUAUGUGGUUUAAUUCGAUGCAACGCGAAGAACCUUACCAGGGUUUGACAUCCUGCGAAUCUCUUGGAAACGAGAGAGUGCCUUCGGGAACGCAGUGACAGGCGGUGCAUGGCUGUCGUCAGCUCGUGUCGUGAGAUGUUGGGUUAAGUCCCGCAACGAGCGCAACCCACGUCGUUAGUUGCCAGCAUUUAGUUGGGCACUCUAGCGAGACCGCCGGUGAUAAACCGGAGGAAGGUGUGGAUGACGUCAAGUCAUCAUGCCCCUUACAUCCUGGGCUACACACGUACUACAAUGCUACGGACAAAGGGCAGCAAACUCGCGAGAGCUAGCAAAUCCCAUAAACCGUGGCUCAGUUCAGAUCGUAGGCUGCAACUCGCCUACGUGAAGGAGGAAUCGCUAGUAAUCGCAGGUCAGCAUACUGCGGUGAAUACGUUCCCGGGCCU